UUCCGACCCCAGCUCUGCCUCAUAGCAGCCCCACUUCUCAGAAGCUCAUGACUUUGGGCCUGUACUUCAAAUGUGUGAUUUGCACAGCUUUCUGCAGGACACUGGUUAUUCUGGAAGCAGCACUGGACAGAAAAGCUCAGCACAAGGAGGACAGGAAUCCGUUUCCUCACUGCAAAACAUAGCUAUGCCUGGAUGUGAUUCAAGAAGACAUUAGCAACUUGAAAUCCUUCCUCAUCCCUAACAGGGAUGCUCUGGUAAGUCCCUGUUUUGAGGAACUUGGACCUUGGACCUACAAGAGUUGGUGCCCAAGAGGUCUUUGUGUCUGGAUGGACCCCAAAUACUGUCCUGAAGGACAGAGAGCAGCCUCUCAAAGAUGGCAACUCCCCAGGGCCUGAAGGUGCUGUGGAACAUGUGAGAGAACCUGACAAUGGUGAGUGCACUCCCAGUCCCCACUCCCAGGACUGGCCCUGGAGGUGCUACAGAAGGACUCCACCUACCUGCUGCCCUUGCUCUCUCCCCACCUGCCGUUUCUGCUCUUCAUCAGCCUUGUUCCCUAUAAGGAUCUUCUGGACACCUUCUGGUGCAUACUGGAGACAAAGGAGAAGCAGAAUUGUCAUUGAGAAAUGCCCUUCCCUCCCAUCUCCCCUGUCCCAGUCUACACUGACCUCUAAACCACCACCAAGGUUAAGAGCCCUAGGGACACGGUGGGGUGACCAGAGGCAAGUGUCAGGCUCUACCAAGUACAGGGGUCCCCCAUUAUCUGUGGUUUUGCUUUCCCAAUUUCAGUUACCUAUGGUCAACUAUGGUCUAAAACUUAAAUGGAAAAUUCUAGAAAUAAACAAUGUGUGUUUAAA